rnacentral:tRNA from 1 species
GUUGAUGUAGCUUAAUAACAAAGCAAAGCACUGAAAAUGCUUAGAUGGAUAUUUUCAUCCCAUAAAACAUAAA